rnacentral:lncRNA from 1 species
AGCCCACGGGGUCACAAAGAGUCGGACACAACUGAGUGACUGAACAGCAACAAUGGUGGUUCUUCGAAUUGCAUGAGCUUUUAGUUCCCCUUGAACUUCAGGACUGCUAUCAUUCCAUGCUUAUUGGUGCAUAGUGAAAGGAAGAAAAGAGUAACGAUGUUUUUGUCUCUGACUUUAAGAACUUUAAAUAAGAAAAUCACAGAUUUCAGGUUGCUUCAUCCCAUAUCUGGUCUUGGGUUUCUUUACUGAGGUUUCUGCCAUAAUUAGAAAAUAUUAUCCGCCUGGCAGUUCACUUGAGGGCUUCUGCUGGUUUCAUCUAACUAAUGAGUUCGUUUUUUCCUUUAAUCCUGAAAAUCAGGGGAACCUGCUUUGUGGAAACCUGAAUCAGUCCUUCUCGAUGCAGGAUUUGUUCCAAAAGAAGAAUUAAGCACACAGUCUUUGGAGCCAGCAUCCCAUGGAGAUCCAAGUAAGUUAAUUGACAACUAGAAACCCCUAGUGGCUUUGACAUCUGAUCUGCUCUCUCUCCCCUCUGCCCACUCACUCCCACCCACACCCGCCUCUCUCCUACCCUGGGUCUAUUUAUCUCUCUUCCGUCACUUUGUUCUAAAGGAAAAGGGAAGCUUCUGAAGGAUUUAAACUAUCUGUGUGCAAGAGUGGGAGAGGAUCAGAUGUUUAAAAUGUCACUAUGGCAACAGGCUGGGGUGGAGUCGGGGGACAAGAGUGGAUGAAAGGAGGAGACUGGCUUGCCAGUGAGGAUGAAGGUCUGCAGAGAUGAUGGUACACAGAGCUCAGGGUGGGAAGCAUAAAUGAAGAGAAAUGGGCAAAUCCAAGAGAUAGAGAAAGAAGAAGCUAGAGGGGUGGAGGUGAAGACAGGGAGCAAUUAAAGAUGAUUCGAACAUCUGGAGCUGCCAUCAGGACCACUGGAGUUGGAACAGGUUGGGGCAGGAAGGUGUUUAUAUCUAUCACCUUCUGUAAGAUAUUCAGUCUAGCAGAGAGCUGGCCACCCUGACAUUCAGAAACAACAGUCCAGCUGGAAGCUUAGAGUUGGAAGAUGAUGAGGGCAAAACCAAGGUUUUGAGAACCGAAAGAGAACAGAAAGUAUGACCCAGGGAGAUAGGUUACAGUAAGAACCAGGGGACUUAAACCUGAAGAUCUUUGAUACUGACUGGGUGGAAGAGAAGCCACCCAAGGAUACAAGAAAGAGAGCAGAGAAAAAGAGGGAAACCAGGAGGGAGCUGUGUGUUGCAAGCAUCUGCAAAUUCCCCCAGAAAGCCGUGACAAGUCAGCCACCAAUGGGGUGCCAGUCUCAACUCACCUAUACGUGAGAAUC